rnacentral:rRNA from 1 species
GUGCCAGCCGCUGCGGUAAUACGUAGGGCGCAAGCGUUGUCCGGAAUUAUUGGGCGUAAAGAGCUCGUAGGCGGUUUGUCGCGUCUGCUGUGAAAACCCGAGGCUCAACCUCGGGCCUGCAGUGGGUACGGGCAGACUAGAGUGCGGUAGGGGAGACUGGAACUCCUGGUGUAGCGGUGGAAUGCGCAGAUAUCAGGAAGAACACCAAUGGCGAAGGCAGGUCUCUGGGCCGUAACUGACACUGAGGAGCGAAAGCAUGGGAGCGAACAGGAUUAGAUACCCUGGUAGUCCAUGCCGUAAACGUUGGGCGCUAGACGUGGGACCUUUCACGGUUUCCGUGUCGUAGCUAACGCAUUAAGCGCCCGCCUGGGGAGUACGGCCGCAAGGCUAAACUCAAAGGAAUUGGACGGGGCCCGCACAAGCGGCGAGCAUGCGGA